CUUCAUUACAAAUGUUUGCAUCUCCGACAAUAACUACAAGCCAACAAGUUGUGAGUUCGUCAACAUCAAACAUUAUGAAGUAAUCGACAUUGUAAAAAGCAGUGGUUCACUAAGUAUUUUGAAGUUGCUAGUGUGAACUAAACAACGCAUCCUAAGCUUAAUUGGGCGAGGCCACGGAAAAAGAAACCUUCUUCUGCCAUGCAGCUUAUGUAUGGGAAGACCAAUUUGAGUGGCUCCUAGCAGAAGAUUUUUGAGACAAGCAACGAAAAUGAGUACUCAAUUGGCGAAUGCGUCAAAUAAACCAAACCCUGAUGCUGAACAAGCAGAAGCCCUUGAAGCUUGAUGGUGAAUUUUCUUGGACAGUUUAGGUUUUUCAGUUUUUUCUUUUGAGGUUGUAAAAGAUACUAAGAUAUGUGUAACCAGUUAUUUGUUUAAUUAAUGUAUGCCCCCACUCACCCAAAAAUGGGGGUGGGAGGACU